AGAGUUUGAUCCUGGCUCAGGACGAACGCUGGCGGCGUGCCUAACACAUGCAAGUCGAGCGGGGAUGUUUGGAAGCUUGCUUCUGAACAUUCUAGCGGCGGACGGGUGAGUAACGCGUGAGCAACCUGCCUUCUACUGGGGAAUAACGCACCGAAAGGUGUGCUAAUACCGCAUGAGACCACAGGACCGCAUGGUCUGGGGGUCAAAGAUUUAUCGGUAGAAGAUGGGCUCGCGUCUGAUUAGCUAGUUGGUGAGGUAACGGCCCACCAAGGCGACGAUCAGUAGCCGACCUGAGAGGGUGAUCGGCCACAUUGGAACUGAGAAACGGUCCAAACUCCUACGGGAGGCAGCAGUGGGGAAUAUUGGGCAAUGGGCGCAAGCCUGACCCAGCAACGCCGCGUGAAGGAAGAAGGUCUUCGGAUCGUAAACUUCUAUCCUUGGUGAAGAUAAUGACGGUAGCCAAGAAGGAAGCCCCGGCUAACUACGUGCCAGCAGCCGCGGUAAUACGUAGGGGGCAAGCGUUGUCCGGAAUGAUUGGGCGUAAAGGGCGCGUGGGCGGCCCGUCAAGUCUGGAGUGAAACUCCCGCUUUUAAGGUGGGAACUGCUUUGGAUACUGAUGGGCUUGAGUGCAGGAGAGGUAAGCGGAAUUCCCGGUGUAGCGGUGAAAUGCGUAGAGAUCGGGAGGAACACCAGUGGCGAAGGCGGCUUACUGGACUGUAACUGACGCUGAGGCGCGAAAGUGUGGGGAGCAAACAGGAUUAGAUACCCUGGUAGUCCAUGCCGUAAACGUUGGGCACUAGGUGUGGGGGACAUUCCACGUUUUCCGCGCCGUAGCUAACGCAUUAAGUGCCCCGCCUGGGGAGUACGGCCGCAAGGCUAAAACUCAAAGGAAUUGACGGGGGCCCGCACAAGCGGCGGAGCAUGCGGAUUAAUUCGAUGCAACGCGAAGAACCUUACCAAGGCUUGACAUGAACCGGAAAGGCCUGGAAACAGGUCCCCCACUUGUGGCCGGUUUACAGGUGGUGCAUGGUUGUCGUCAGCUCGUGUCGUGAGAUGUUGGGUUAAGUCCCGCAACGAGCGCAACCCUCGUUCUAUGUUGCCAGCGGGUUAUGCCGGGGACUCAUAGGAGACUGCCGGGGUCAACUCGGAGGAAGGUGGGGACGACGUCAAAUCAUCAUGCCCCUUAUGUCUUGGGCUUCACGCAUGCUACAAUGGCCGGUACAAAGGGUUGCGAUACUGUGAGGUGGAGCUAAUCCCAAAAAGCCGGUCUCAGUUCGGAUUGAGGUCUGCAACUCGACCUCAUGAAGUUGGAGUCGCUAGUAAUCGCAGAUCAGCAACGCUGCGGUGAAUACGUUCCCGGGCCUUGCACACACCGCCCGUCAAG
rnacentral:rRNA from 1 species